rnacentral:rRNA from 1 species
CAGCCGUAAACUAUGCUCGCUAGGUGUCAGGCAUGGCGCGACCGUGUCUGGUGCCGCAGGGAAGCCGUGAAGCGAGCCACCUGGGAAGUACGGCCGCAAGGCUGAACUUAAGGAUUGGCGGGGGAGCACAACAACGGGUGGAGCCUGCGGUUUAAUUGGACUCAACGCCGGGAAGCUCACCGGAUAAGACAGCGGAAUGAUUGCCGGGCUGAAGACUUCUGCAUGACUAGCUGAGAGGAGGUGCAUGGCGUAGACGUCU